CCCAUCUCAGGGUCGCACCUGGAGAGUUUCCACUCCUCUACCAGUCUCGACUACGGGAAGGAGAGUCAAGCAGAGGCAUAUCCAUUCCAUUCUUAGCUUGGGUGGUGGCCAGUGAGUGGAAGGCAGUCUGCUACAAGU
rnacentral:snoRNA from 1 species